rnacentral:rRNA from 1 species
GAUCAAGCUACGAAGGGUGCAUGGUGAAUGUCUAGGCGCGAUGAGGCGAUGAAGGACGUGGUAGGCUGCGAUAAGCCCAGGGGAGCUGUCAAACGAGCUUUGAUCCUGGGAUGUCCGAAUGGGGAAACCCGGCGUCACUGUGAGAGCAGAUGGCGUCACCGGCGGCUGAAUGCAUAGGUCGUCGGGGCGAACGCGGUAAACUGAAACAUCUAAGUAACCGCAGGAAGAGAAAUCAACCGAGACUCCGUCAGUAGCGGCGAGCGAAAGCGGACCAGCCCAAACCCCGGCUACGGCCGGGGGGUUGUGGGCGCCGAUCUAGGCCCAACGUCUUGGCAGCUGAAGUGUCUGGAAAGUCACACGAUACAGGGUGACAGUCCCGUAAGCGACACCGAGACGAGCCGUUAUGGUCGGCGUACCAGAGUAGCGCGGAUGCCGUGGAACUCCGCGUGAAGCUGGGGGGUCCACCCCCCAAGGCUAAGUACUCCAUCGCGACCGAUAGUGCACAAGUAGGGCGACUGAAUGAUGAAAAGAACCCCUAUUAGGGGAGUGAAAAGUACCUGAAACCAUGUACCUACGAGUUGUCGGAGCCCUAUGCCCGGUCUUCGGACCGGGAACGGGUGACGGCGUGCCUUUUGCAUAAUGAACCGGCGAGUUACGGUGUGCGGCCGGCUAAGCCCCUCAGGGGCGGAGCCGUAGCGAAAGCGAGUCUGAACAGGGCGCCGAAGGUCGCAUGCUGCAGACCCGAAACUGGGUGAUCUACCCAUGGCCAGGUUGAAUGCCGAGUAACAUCGGCAAGAGGACCGAACCCACCAACGUUGAAAAGUUGGGGGAUGAGCUGUGGGGAGGAGUGAAAGUCUAAUCAAACCCAGCGAUAUCUGGUUCUCUCCGAAAUAGCUCUUGGGCUAGCCUCGGGCCAUUGCGCGGCGGGGGUAGAGCACUGAAUGAAACGAGGGGCCCACCAGGCUACCUCCUUCAACCAAACUCCGAAUACCGCCGCGUGUACCCCGGGAGUCAGACUGUGGGGGAUAACCUCCAUGGUCGAAAGGGAAACAACCCAGACCGCCGCUUAAGGUCCCCAAACCGUGCUAAGUGACUAAGGAAGUCGGAUUGCUGAGACAGCCAGGAUGUUGGCUUAGAAGCAGCCAUCAUUUAAAAAGUGCGUAACAGCUUACUGGUCGAGCAACCCGGCGCCAAUAAUGAUCGGGACUAAGCACGGUACCAAAUGCGCGGCCCUGCAUCGCUUCGUGCGAGGCAGGGGGUAGGAGAGCGUAGCUGUCGGCGUCGAAGCGGUACCGCAAGGAGCCGUGGAGCGUCAGCUAGUGAGAAUGCCGGUAUGAGUAACGAUAAAGCAGGUGAAAAUCCUGCUCGCCGAAAGCCUAAGGUUUCCUGGGGAAGGUAAAUCCGCCCAGGGUUAGUCGGGACCUAAGUCCAGGCCGAAAGGCGUAGACGAUGGAUGGCAGGUUAAUAUUCCUGCACUGCGCGUGGCGGUUGAACCGCGGAUGACGCAUCUACAAACCAGAUCCCACCGUCAGUCGUGUGGGUUGGGGGCGGCGUAAGCCGCCAGCUCGAGGCCGAUUUGUUGCCGAAGUCUGGAGAGCAGGUGCCGAGAAAAGCUCCGCGGGGACAAAGCGCGCACCCGUACUAAAACUGACACAGGUAGGCGAGGAGAGUAUCCUCAGGCGCUCGAGAGAACCGUCCUUAAGGAACUCGGCAAAUUGACCCCGUACGUUCGCAAUAAGGGGUCCCUCCCGGCUGGACAUCUGGAAAACUGGCUGUCCGGCUGGAGGGCGCAGAGAAAUGGCUCUGGCGACUGUUUAUCAAAAACACAGGUCUCUGCUAACUCGUAAGAGGAUGUAUAGAGACUGACGCCUGCCCGGUGCCGGAAGGUCAAGGAAGCAGGUUAUCCUUCGGGAGAAGCUUGCAACCAAAGCCCCGGUAAACGGCGGCUCUAACUAUGAGAGUCCUAUGGUAGCGAAGUUCCUUGUCGGGUAAGUUCCGACGUGCAUGAAUGGCGUAACGACUGGAGCACUGUCUCAAGGACGGACUCGGUGAAAUUACAAUGGCGGUGAAGAUGCCGCCUACCCGCGGCAAGACGGAAAGACCCCGUGAACCUUUACUGUAACCUGGUAUUGGUGUCUUGUGUUGCAUGCGUAGGAUAGGUGGGAGGCGUUGAAAUUCCGGUUCCGGCCGGGAUGGAGCCAUCCUUGAAAUACCACCCUUGCGGCAUGGGCCGCCUAACCCCGACCCGUGAAUCCGGGCGGGGGACCGUGCUAGGUGGGCAGUUUGACUGGGGCGGUCUCCUCCUAAAAGGUAACGGAGGAGCCCAAAGGCGUCCUCAGCACGGUUGGCAAUCGUGCGAUGAGUGUAAGGGCAUAAGGGCGCUUGACUGUGAGACAGAUACGUCGAGCAGAUGUGAAAGCAGGGCUUAGUGACCCGGUGGUCCCGUGUGGAAGGGCCAUCGCUUAUCAGAUAAAAGGUACUCCGGGGAUAACAGGCUGAUCGCUCCCGAGCGUUCAUAGCGGCGGAGCGGUUUGGCACCUCGAUGUCGGCUCAUCACAUCCUGGGGCUGAAGGCGGUCCCAAGGGUUCGGCUGUUCGCCGAUUAAAGUGGUACGCGAGCUGGGUUCAGACCGGCGUGAGCCAGGUCGGUCCCUAUCUGCCGUGGGCGCAGGAAUCUUGAGGGGAUUCUUCUUCAGUACGAGAGGACCUCGAAGGACGAACCUCUGGUGCACCAGUUGUCCCGCUAGGGGCACCGCUGGGUAGCUAAGUUCGGAACGGAUAACCGCUGAAGGCAUCUAAGCGGGAAGCCCACCCCAAGAUCAGGAUUCCAUGUCCCUUCGGGGACGAGAGCCCCCACCAAGACCAGGUGGUUGAUAGGCCGGAGGUGUAAGAUCGGAAACGAUUUGAGCUGACCGGUACUAACGGGCAAGCGCUUGAUCAC